rnacentral:ncRNA from 2 species
GCAGGAUGCCUGGUUUGUGGUGGACCCUGAGUCAGGGGAGACCCAGAUGACACUGACCACAGAGGGUCCCUCCACCCCCCGCCUCUACAUUGGCCGAACACAGUAUACGGUCACCAUGCAUGACCCAAGAGCCCCAGCCCUGCGCUGGAACACCACCUACCGCCGCUACUCAGCGCCCCCCAUGGAUGGCUCACCUGGGAAAUGUGAGUUCCACCUUUCUCUGGUCCCAUCUUGGAGCAAGGUCCCCAACCCAGGGAACCCUGAACAGCAUCCAUGACCAAUUCCCAGCCACAUUUCGACCCACUUGACCUCC